rnacentral:rRNA from 1 species
CUACGCACUCCUACGGGAGGCAGCAGUGGGGAAUAUUGCACAAUGGGCGCAAGCCUGAUGCAGCCAUGCCGCGUGUAUGAAGAAGGCCUUCGGGUUGUAAAGGUACUUUCAGCAGUGAGGAAGGUGGGUAUGUUAAUAGCAUACUCAUUUGACGUUAGCUGCAGAAGAAGCACCGGCUAACUCCGUGCCAGCAGCCGCGGUAAUACGGAGGGUGCGAGCGUUAAUCGGAAUUACUGGGCGUAAAGCGCAUGCAGGUGGUUUGUUAAGUCAGAUGUGAAAGCCCGGGGCUCAACCUCGGAAUUGCAUUUGAAACUGGCAAACUAGAGUACUGUAGAGGGGGUAGAAUUUCAGGUGUAGCGGUGAAAUGCGUAGAGAUCUGAAGGAAUACCGGUGGCGAAGGCGGCCCCCUGGACAGAUACUGACACUCAGAUGCGAAAGCGUGGGGAGCAAACAGGAUUAGAUACCCUGGUAG